CUAUGAGUACUAUCCGGGAGACAGACUGCGGGUGCUAACGUCCGUAGUCAAGAGGAAAACAAUCCAGACCGCCAGCUAAGGCCCCAAAAUCAUAGUUAAGUGGGAAACGAUGUGGGAAGGCAUAGACAGCUAGGAGGUUGGCUUAGAAGCAGCCACCCUUUAAAGAAAGCGUAAUAGCUCACUAGUCGAGUCGGCCUGCGCGGAAGAUGUAACGGGGCUAAAACUAUGUGCCGAAGCUGCGGAUGUAUACUUUGUAUACGUGGUAGGGGAGCGUUCUGUAAGCCGAUGAAGGUGUGUUGAGAAGCAUGCUGGAGGUAUCAGAAGUGCGAAUGCUGACGUGAGUAACGACAAAACGGGUGAAAAACCCGUUCGCCGAAAGACCAAGGGUUCCAGUCCAACGUUAAUCGGGGCUGGGUGAGUCGACCCCUAAGGCGAGGCCGAAAGGCGUAGUCGAUGGGAAAAUGGUUAAUAUUCCAUUACUUCUGUGUAAUGCGAUGAGAGGACGGAGAAGGCUAAAUCAGCCUGGCGUUGGUUGUCCAGGUGAAAGGAUGUAGGCAUGUAUCUUAGGCAAAUCCGGGGUACUCUAUGCUGAGAUCUGAUAGCAAGCUGUACUUGUACAGCGAAGUGGUUGAUGCCAUGCUUCCAGGAAAAGUCUCUAAGCUUCAGUUACACAGGAAUCGUACCCGAAACCGACACAGGUGGUCAGGUCGAGUAGACCAAGGCGCUUGAGAGAACUCUGCUGAAGGAACUAGGCAAAAUGGUACCGUAACUUCGGGAGAAGGUACGCUGUUGUUGGUGAUGGAACUCGCUUCCUGAGCUGACGACAGCCGCAGAAACCAGGCCGCUGCAACUGUUUAUUAAAAACAUAGCACUCUGCAAACACGAAAGUGGACGUAUAGGGUGUGAUGCCUGCCCGGUGCUGGAAGGUUAAUUGAUGGGGUUAGCGUAAGCGAAGCUCUUGAUCGAAGCCCCAGUAAACGGCGGCCGUAACUAUAACGGUCCUAAGGUAGCGAAAUUCCUUGUCGGGUAAGUUCCGACCUGCACGAAUGGCAUAAUGAUGGCGGCGCUGUCUCCAGCAGAGGCUCAGUGAAAUCGAAAUCGCUGUGAAGAUGCAGUGUACCCGCGGCUAGACGGAAAGACCCCGUGAACCUUUACUGCAGCUUGACACUGAACUUUGACCUUACUUGUGUAGGAUAGGUGGGAGGCUUUGAAGCUGGAACGCUAGUUCCAGUGGAGCCGUCCUUGAAAUACCACCCUGGUAAUGUUGAGGUUCUAACUCUGUCCCGUGAUCCGGGACGAGGACCGUGUCUGGUGGGUAGUUUGACUGGGGCGGUCUCCUCCUAAAGAGUAACGGAGGAGUACGAAGGUGCGCUCAGCGUGGUCGGAAAUCACGCGUAGAGUAUAAAGGCAAAAGCGCGCUUAACUGCGAGACCCACAAGUCGAGCAGGUACGAAAGUAGGUCUUAGUGAUCCGGUGGUUCUGUAUGGAAGGGCCAUCGCUCAACGGAUAAAAGGUACUCUGGGGAUAACAGGCUGAUACCGCCCAAGAGUUCAUAUCGACGGCGGUGUUUGGCACCUCGAUGUCGGCUCAUCUCAUCCUGGGGCUGAAGCAGGUCCCAAGGGUAUGGCUGUUCGCCAUUUAAAGAGGUACGCGAGCUGGGUUUAGAACGUCGUGAGACAGUUCGGUCCCUAUCUACCGUGGGCGCUGGAAAUUUGAGAGGAUCUGCUCCUAGUACGAGAGGACCAGAGUGGACGAACCUCUGGUGUACCGGUUGUGACGCCAGUCGCAUCGCCGGGUAGCUAUGUUCGGAAGGGAUAACCGCUGAAAGCAUCUAAGCGGGAAGCCUACCUCAAGAUAAGAUUUCCCUAGGACUUUAUGUCCUCUAAAGAGCCGUUCGAGACUAGGACGUUGAUAGGUUGGAUGUGGAAGCAUAGUGAUAUGUGAAGCUGACCAAUACUAAUUGCUCGUGAGGCUUGACUA
rnacentral:rRNA from 1 species